UGGGGAAUCUUGCCCAAUGGGCGCAAGCCUGAGGCAGCGACGCCGCGUGAGGGAAGAAGGCCUUCGGGUUGUAAACCUCUUUCAGGAGGGACGAAGCCACUCGGGUUAAUAGCCCAGAGGGUGACGGUACCUCCAGAAGAAGCCCCGGCUAACUACGUGCCAGCAGCCGCGGUAAUACGUAGGGGGCAAGCGUUGUCCGGAUUUACUGGGCGUAAAGAGCGUGUAGGCGGCCAGGCAGGUCUGUUGUGAAAACUGGAGGCUUAACCUCCAGACGUCGACAGAAACCGUCUGGCUAGAGUCCGGAAGAGGAGAGUGGAAUUCCUGGUGUAGCGGUGAAAUGCGCAGAUAUCAGGAAGAACACCAAUGGCGAAGGCAGCUCUCUGGGACGGUACUGACGCUGAGACGCGAAAGCGUGGGGAGCGAACAGGAUUAGAUACCCUGGUAGUCCACGCCGUAAACGAUGGGUGCUAGGUGUGGGAGGUGUC
rnacentral:rRNA from 1 species